rnacentral:rRNA from 1 species
CUACGGGGCGCACCAGUGAGGAAUAUUGCACAAUGGGGGGAACCCUGAUGCAGCAACGCCGCGUGGAGGAUGACGCAUUUCGGUGUGUAAACUCCUUUUAUAUGUCAAGAAAAUGACGGUAGCAUAUGAAUAAGCGCCGGCUAACUCCGUGCCAGCAGCCGCGGUAAUACGGAGGGCGCAAGCGUUACUCGGAAUCACUGGGCGUAGAGGACGCGUAGGCGGGUUGAAAAGUCAGGUGUGAAAGCCUACAGCUUAACUGUAGAACUGCACUUGAAACUCUCAAUCUAGAGUAUGGGAGGGGCAGAGGGAAUUAGUGGUGUAGGGGUAAAAUCCGUAGAUAUCACUAGGAAUACCUAAAGCGAAGGCGAUCUGCUGGAACAUUACUGACGCUAAGGCGUGAAAGCGUGGGGAGCAAACAGGAUUAGAUACCCGGGUAGUC